GGUUAUGCACGCCAGUUUGUAACUCAAACGGAAGUUGGGUAAGGUGAGGACAGAUUCAGAUGAAAUCGGCACGUCGACAGCGAAGCCGCUGUCCAUAAAAUUCAAUCGCAAAUAAUUCGUUACGAAUUUAAUUCAGCUAUUUUACGGAAGCUCUGAAGAUCAUAAGAAAGCGCGCAACAACACUUCUUUUAGCUUUCGUUUUGGAUCCGGAAAUGGUAGUUCCUGCAGUACUUUCCCGUCAUUUCGAGCUAUCGUCGCUCUGCCGUUCCAAUACCAACCUCUCCCUGUGCGCAUGUCAAGGCUAACAAAUGUUGAGCUAUAACAGGGGAUCGCAUGUCUGACCUCCAGGUUCUGCAUGGAUGAGUUUCCGUCUUCUGUUUGCCUUAUACGAACAGGGGUUUCCCAGACGAAAGCUAAAUCUGCGUUAAGCGCAACUGAUCCCCGACAGAGUGGUGCGGGGACAUUCUAUUGUUAAUGCACAGUUCCGCUACGAUGUUAUUUCAUAAUAGCUUUGUGACAGAAAAGAAAACAAGGAGCAUGAGAGAGACGGAAUGUCCAUAGCGCCACUGGACCGUCCAAUUCUCCCUAUAUAAUGCGGUAUGCGCAUACCCGUCUGCAUACCCGUCGCAGCGCUCCCCGUAAAGAUACGUCAGUCGACGAUGGCACCACGGCUAGGAAUCUGGUCUCUCUGUGCUUGCCUCUUGUUGGUGUUCUUGGCCUCGCAUUGUGCUGAUGCCCAGUUUGGGUUUCGAGGAAGAUUCUGUGGUCCUGGGGCUGUCUAUUCAAACUGUGGUUCUGCGUGUCCUCGCGUCUGCGGAAGACCACCUCCGAGGUUCUGUACUUUCCAGUGUGUCCCAGGCUGUGUCUGCCGUCCCGGAUUUAUCCUGGACCCUUACCGCUCCCGAUGCAUUCCUCAAUUCUACUGUCGACCGUUCUACGGUUGAUCAGAGGGAUCGAUGACAUGGCCACGCAUUCCCCACAGCAGAGAACUGUACGUUAGAGGGAAAUAAAAACACCGUUCUGA